rnacentral:rRNA from 1 species
UACGUAGGUGGCAAGCGUUGUCCGGAAUUAUUGGGCGUAAAGCGCGCGCAGGCGGUCCCUUAAGUCUGAUGUGAAAGCCCACGGCUCAACCGUGGAGGGUCAUUGGAAACUGGGGGACUUGAGUACAGAAGAGGAAAGCGGAAUUCCACGUGUAGCGGUGAAAUGCGUAGAGAUGUGGAGGAACACCAGUGGCGAAGGCGGCUUUCUGGUCUGUAACUGACGCUGAGACGCGAGGGCGUGGGGAGCAAACAGG